rnacentral:rRNA from 1 species
UACGUAGGGUGCAAGCGUUGUCCGGAAUUAUUGGGCGUAAAGAGCUCGUAGGCGGUUUGUCGCGUCUGCUGUGAAAACCCGAGGCUCAACCUCGGGCCUGCAGUGGGUACGGGCAGACUAGAGUGCGGUAGGGGAGAUUGGAAUUCCUGGUGUAGCGGUGGAAUGCGCAGAUAUCGGGAGGAACACCGGUGGCGAAGGCGGUUCUCUGGGCCUGUACUGACGCUGAGGAGCGAAAGCGUGGGGAGCGAACAGG